rnacentral:rRNA from 1 species
AGUGAACGCUGGCGGUAGGCCUAACACAUGCAAGUCGAACGGCAGCACAGUAAGAGCUUGCUCUUACGGGUGGCGAGUGGCGGACGGGUGAGGAAUACAUCGGAAUCUACUUUUUCGUGGGGGAUAACGUAGGGAAACUUACGCUAAUACCGCAUACGACCUACGGGUGAAAGCAGGGGAUCUUCGGACCUUGCGCGCUUGAAUGAGCCGAUGUCGGAUUAGAUAGUUGGCGGGGUAAAGGCCCACCAAGGCGAAGAUACGUAGCUGGUCUGACAGGGUGAGGGGCCACAUUGGGAAGGAGACAGGGCACAAACUCCUACGGGAGGCAGCAGUAGGGAAGCUUCGGCAAUGGACGAAAGUCUGACCGAGCAACGACGCGGGAGUGAAGAAGGGUUUCGGAUCGUAAAACUCUGUUGGUAGAGAAGAAAGAUGGUGAGAGUGGAAAGCUCAUCAAGUGACGGUAACUACCCAGAAAGGGACGGCUAACUACGUG